rnacentral:rRNA from 1 species
CCUACGGGAGUCAGCAGUGGGGAAUAUUGUACAAUGGGGGGAAACCCUGAUGCAGCAACGCCGCGUCAAGGAAGACGGUUUUCGGAUUGUAAACUUCUGUUCUUAGUGAAGAAUAAUGACGUUAGCUAAGGAGCAAUCCACGGCUCACUACGUGCCAGCAGCCGCGGUAAUACGUAGGUGGCAAGCGUUGUCCGGAAUUACUGGGUGUAAAGGGAGCGCAGGCGGGCAGCCAAGUCAGCUGUGAAAACUACGGGCUUAACUUGUAGAUUGCAGUUGAAACUGGUGUUCUUGAGUGAAUUAGAGGUUGGCGGAAUUCCGAGUGUAGCGGUGAAAUGCGUAGAUAUUAGGAGGAACACCGAUGGCGAAGGCGGCCAACUGGGCUGUAACUGACGCUGAGGCUCGAAAGUGUGGGGAGCAAACAGGAUUAGAUACCCUUGUAGUC